UACGUAGGGGGCAAGCGUUGUCCGGAAUCAUUGGGCGUAAAGCGCGCGUAGGCGGCUCGGUAAGUCUGCUGUGAAAGUCCAGGGCUCAACCCUGGGAUGCCGGUGGAUACUGUCGAGCUCGAGUCCGGAAGAGGCGAGUGGAAUUCCUGGUGUAGCGGUGAAAUGCGCAGAUAUCAGGAGGAACGCCAAUGGCGAAGGCAGCUCGCUGGGACGUGACUGACGCUGAGACGCGAAAGCGUGGGGAGCAAACAGG
rnacentral:rRNA from 1 species